rnacentral:rRNA from 1 species
UACGUAGGGUGCGAGCGUUGUCCGGAAUUAUUGGGCGUAAAGAGCUUGUAGGCGGUCUGUCGCGUCUGCUGUGAAAAUCCGGGGCUCAACCCCGGACUUGCAGUGGGUACGGGCAGACUAGAGUGUGGUAGGGGAGACUGGAAUUCCUGGUGUAGCGGUGAAAUGCGCAGAUAUCAGGAGGAACACCGGUGGCGAAGGCGGGUCUCUGGACCGAUACUGACACUGAGGAGCGAAAGCGUGGGGAGCGAACAGG